UUUUUUUUUUUUUUUUUUUGAGACAGAGUCCUGCUUUGUCGCCAGGCUGGAGUGCAGUGGCCUUAAGGGAGGAGACCACCCCUCAUAUUGUCUUGUGCCCAAUUUCUGCCUCCAAAGAAAGAAGUAAAAACUAAAAGGCCUCCACAGGCAGACAGCCCGGCGCCGCACCCUGGGCCUGGUAGUUAAAGAUGGACCCCUGACCUAACUGGGUCUGUUAUCUAUAGAUUACAGACAUUGUAUAGAAAUGCACUGUGAAAAUCCCUAUCUUGUUUUGUUCUGAUCUAAUUACCGGUGCACGCAGCCCCCAGUCACGUACUCCCUGCUUGCUCAAUCAGUCACGACCCUCUCACAUGCACCCCCUUAGAGUUGUGAGCCCUUAAAAGGGACAGGAAUUGCUCACCCGGGGAACUCGGCUCUUGAGACAGAUGUCUUGCCGAUGCCCCCGCCCGAAUAAACCCCUUCCUUCUGUAACGCGGUGUCUGAGGAGUUCUGUCUGCUGCUCCUCCUGCUACAGCCUGAUCUUGGCUCACUGCAACCUCCGCCUCCUGGGUUCAAGUGAUUCUCCUGCCUCAGCCUCCUGAGUAGCAGGAAUUACAGGUGUGUGCUACCACGCCCAGCUAGUUUUUGAAUUUUUAGUAGAGAUGGGGCUUCACCAUGUGGGUCAGGCUGGUCUGAAACUCCUGACUUCGUGGCCCGCCCUCCUCAGCCUCCCACAGUGCAGGGAUUACAGGCGUGAGCCACCGUGCCUGGUGGAAGUUUUCAUUUUUUAAAGCAUCUCUGGAAAAGUUUCUUGUAAAGCCCGGGCUCUUAGAGCCAGGCUGGCAACCUUUGAUAUGCAAAUGAAGGCCAUUAGAAACUGGGUUCACCCAACAUGGCCAGGUUGGCAACCUUUAAUAUGCAAAUGCAAGCUGUUAGAAAAUGGGUCCACCCAACAUGGUGAUUCCCCCACCUUCAUGGUGAUUCCCCUGCCUUUUUGCUCUUGCCCUACAUGUGCCUGGUAAGAUGGCCGCCCCCACGUGUCCCCAUGUGUGUAGAACAUUAAGGUGCCCUAUAUUUGCAUAUUAAGAGCCUAGGUUGGGAGGGCCAGCGUUUUUGGUGCUACCUGAGUGACAUGUCACGUCAAACCAAUCCCCUGAGCCCUGUGCAAAUCAAGCACUGCCUCCUCUAGCCAUCGCAUAUAACUGGCUGAUAUUACCCGAGCAGGACUUCCCUCUCUCAGCUUUGGAGCCUCCUUCUGUCUGUCUCUGUACAGGAGGGCUUCCUUCUCCCUUCCUUCUUGCCCCUUCUUGCCUAUUAAACUCUCUGCUCCUUAAAACCACUUCAUGUGUGUCUGUAUUGUUUUAUCUAGUUCAACGUGAGACAAGAGCCCUGGUGUUCCUCUGCUCAUCAAAGCCGUAUCAUUUAGAAGAAAAAUUUUUUUAAAAAUUGAACACAUAUGUUGGAUGUGUUUAAGUUCGUUUUUUACAAGUUGAUAUACUACUCAUGCAAGAGAAGAUCUGGACAUUUUGCAGGGGCCUUUAAGGUUUUCAUUUUAAUUUACUACAAAGUUCACAUACUCUAAAGUAAGUCACCAAAACAUGAAACGUAAAUCCAGAAUUUUCUUCACCUGCUAGUCUAGGACAGACAUUAUUAACAUAGAGAAAUAAAUGGGAAAAACAGUGUUAAUUUCAUGGCAUUUCUAAAAAUCGAUUAAAAGUGGAGAAAAGCAACCUCUGUUUCAAACUAGAUUUCGAAUGAGUAAGAAUUACAUGAUGUACCAAAAGCUCUUUUCCAGUAAAGGAGAGGCUUUCUUUUCCUCAUGUUAGGAACACACAGUCUUGUAGAGGGCAAAAUUGAUUGUUUCUUAUGCCCAGGGGCACUGUCCUUUGCAUUUUCUGGAGUUUAAAUAAACUUGAAGUUUAAAAUUCAAGGAGCAUCUCUGAAUGAGCAUCUAAAGUUUAACAUUUUCUCAUUGUGGUUAUUAGAUGGAGCAGCUUAUGAAGACAAAAGCCCAGGCCUGCUUGAGACCCUGGUUUUGAGAUGUGACUAACAAUGCCAGUAGCGAGAAAGCUUAAACAAAACAAAACCUUAAAAUUUAAUUUUGUUUUGUUUUGUUUUUCUAGAUGGAGUCUUGCUCUGUCACCCAGGCUGGAGUGC
ensembl:lncRNA